rnacentral:tRNA from 1 species
GCGGAGUUGGUGAAGUGGUUAACACACUGGUUUGUGGCACCAGCAUUCAAGGGUUCGAUUCCCUUACUCCGCCCCA